rnacentral:rRNA from 1 species
GACGAACGCUGGCGGCGUGCCUAAUACAUGCAAGUAGAACGAGUUGCGAACGGGUGAGUAACGCGUGGGAACCUGCCUAAUAGGGGGGGAGAACUAUUGGAAACGAUAGCAAAUACCGCAUACUGUGAGAUGGACCUGUGUUGUAUUAGCUAGUUGGUGAGGUAAAGGCGCACCAAGGCGACGAUCCCUAGCUGGUCUGAGAGGAUGACCAGCCACACGGGAACUGAGACACGGUCCAGACUCCUACGGGAGGCAGCAGUGGGGAAUAUUGCACAAUGGGCGCAAGCCUGAUGCAGCCAUGCCGCGUGUAUGAAGAAGGCCUUCGGGUUGUAAAGUACUUUCAGCGAGGAGGCGUUACUCGCAGAAGAAGCACCGGCUAACUCCGUGCCAGCAGCCGCGGUAAUUC